CCCAUCCUACGGGGGGCAGCAGUGGGGAAUAUUGCACAAUGGGGGAAACCCUGAUGCAGCAACGCCGCGUGAGUGAAGAAGUAUUUCGGUAUGUAAAGCUCUCUCAGCAGGGAAGAAGAUGACGGUACCUGAUUAAGAAGCCCCGGCUAACUACGUGCCAGCAGCCGCGGUAAUACGUAGGGGGCAAGCGUUAUCCGGAUUUACUGGGUGUAAAGGGAGCGUAGACGGCAUAGCAAGUCUGAAGUGAAAGCCCAAGG
rnacentral:rRNA from 1 species